CGGACUGUUCAACUCACCUGGCAGCCACUCCCAGAGCUCCUGGAACUCUGGCCCUAGGCUCUCUGACUCCUUCUUGGCUUACCGGCUGAAGACUGACACUGCCCGAUCACCUCGGAAGCCCCCUAGACCAUCACGGAUGGCAAGCUUCGGGUAACUCUCACAGAGGAAGACACCAGUUGGAGACAAUUCAGCCUCAUCGUCCCUUGCCAAAGGAUGCAAUGAUUCUUAAGCAGGUGAAUAAGGUGGGAUUUGAAAUCAGCAUGGCAGUGUCCAGUGGAAGAAGGGAGCUGAAGUUUCUUGAGGAUGAAUAUAAAGCUGGGGGAGUUAUCAUUGAGCCUAACUCUCUGGUUUGGAACCCAUAAACCCUAAUCAAUAUACCUCCCAAGUUUACAAUAGAGGUGAGAUCAUAACACAAUUGCAUCCAGGAAAAAUGAGCCAUUGGAAAUUGAGGAAUUAUAUGAGAAAACUGGUAAAGAAAGUAUUUGAGAAGUCAUGAUUGGAUGUAAUCAAGAGCAUAGUUGGAGAAAUUAACUCUAAGAAUAUUUGAUAUCUCUUUUUCUAACACUGGAAAAAAGUAGAGGUAAAUCAAAGAUUUUUUAAAAGGUGUUUUGUUUUUUAGCAGAAAGAAGGAAUCAGUUGAAAAGAAAAAUACAUUUUGAAGUAGAAAAAAUGUGGCAGCCAAUCUUGUAGUCUUAUCCUUCUCAACAAAGCAGAUAAGAAUACAUAUUGAGAGUGAAGAAGGCCUUUUUUGAGACUAAAGACCUGAAGGUUGAGGCAGAAAUAUAAUACAAGAUGAUUUGUCAGAUCACUUGGCAGAAAAAUAAUCCAGUUAGAGUACGACAGUAUGCAUUACUAAGAAACAUAGUCAAGAUAGUUUGUGAUUUUGUACAAUUAUUGGUAGCAUACAAACAAAUGCAGAGGAUAGAACAGUCACAGACAGAGAAUAAAGAAAGGAUUGUGCUAAUGACAGUUUUAGGCUUCUUUUCAUGUGAUUACAAAAUGUGCUCCCAGACAGCAAGUGUGAGAGGAGGGGUAAAAAGGCGAAAGAGGAAAGCCAACACAAGGCUGUAUAAUGGAGCUGCAGCCUUCACUCCCUGGCAGCAGUUUGUGCUCUAUCCUCCAGGGACUUCUUGAAUCUGAGUCAAUCAUGGAGAUAAAGGGGAAAACGUGUCUCCAUUGUCAACCUUACUCAUUAAUAAAGGGUUUCCAGAAUCAUCAACCGCCUCCACGUGCCUGCAUUAUGCACACUUGAGUCCAAAGCAGGUUCUCACAUCUUGUGCCAUGAACACAGAGGUACCUCAUAGCAGAACAGGAAGUGCGAAGCAUGAUAUGAAGAAAGGCACACCUCAACGGCACUUAAACAAAGCCAUUCAAAACCUUCAGGACAUGGUGAUCGCAAUGGGUAGAGAAAGAGAUAAGGCCAAGAGCAAUUUGAGAUGAUGAAAAAAAGGUAUCCAUUGCAGAGGAAAACUUGAAGAAUCAUAGGGCACACAAGUCAAAAACUAAGAAGUAUGAGAAGCUAGGAUACUGAGAAAACAAUGAGUUCACUCGAGUAUGAACUGGAUAAUUACAUAAGUGAAGUCAGAGUCAUUUCACUGAGUAAGAUAAAGGUGUCAAGGAUUCAGAAGGUCUGAGGAUGGUGACUACAGUGUCAAAAGUCAUAGAGCACUGUAGAAUAGGAGACGAUAAAGUAUGGGCUGUAAGAUUCAGAUUUGAGACACAGAGGUUAGGAUUUCCCCCUUCUGGACAAGAUGGAAGAACAGGGAUUAAAUUUACCUUCCCAUCAGAAACAACCAAAAACAAUGGACAAAUUGAAACAUGAUGGCUUUACCAGGCACUGGACAUUAGCAACAAAGGACAGUGAAUCCUAACAGGUGCAAGCACUCCCCACACAAACCAAAAUACCAUAAGAAGAACUACAAUAGAAGUUAAAUUAAUCAAAAAAGUAUCUGUGAAGGUAUUGUUUGUUUUAGAAAAUAGUCCUUCUCACACAAAUCUUUGCUUUCUUGCUUCAACUAAAUAGGCUGACCUUUUUUCACUGGCUUAGGAAGACAUUGGCAACAUUUAACCUAAACAGUAUACAUUAUUUACUUUCAAUACAAAUGAAACUUGAAACUUCACCCACAUCAGCUAAGGUUUAAUUCUCUGAGAUGGGAUAAGCAGAGACUAUUUAGCACCUCGAAUCACUCAAACUUGAAAAAUAUUGCAGUAUGUUAACUGCUCAUAUAUUUAAGCUUAGUUUUUGCAGGAUUAGGGUUAGGGUUAGGGUUUUGGGUAGAGGAGUAACAUGAUAUGCUUUAUGUAAUUAAAGGAUUGCUUUGGUUGUAUAGAGAACAUACUAUAGAGGACAAGGGAAAGAGCAGGGAUAGUGGUGAGAAGCUACUGUAAUAAUCCAGGUGAGACUUGAUAGUGGCUGGGACCACAGUAUAGCAGUAAAAAUGGCUGCACGCAGAGUUUGAAGGUGGAGUCGACAUAAUUUUAGAUGACUUGGUUAUCAUGUGAGACAGAAAGAAAAGCAUCAAGACUGUCUCCAAGGUGUUUAGUAUGAAUGAGUGGAAGAAAAAAGUUACCAUUAACCAAGAAGGGAAAGAACAUAUGUGGAGAAGGCUUUGGAAGAGAUCAUAAGUCCAAUCUUGACAUGUCAGGUUAAGGAAGUCUACUUGAGAUCCAAGUGGUGACAUCUAAAAGGCAUCUUGACACAUGUGAAAAAGGCCUGCACCGAAAAUAAAUAUUUGAAAAUAAUGGGCACUUAGGUAGUAUUUAGAGCCACAAGACUAGAUAAUAUUACCUAAAGAAUGAAUAAAAAUAGCAAAGAUACCUAGGGCCCCCCAAUAUUAAUGCCAAACAAAAUUCUUAAUUAUCCCCAAACUCUGCCUUCUAUUUUACAAGAGGCAAUGCAUUAUUUCUUUCUGUAACUGCACAUGCAGAAAACUUUAACAGAAAAUAAAAUAACAUUUUUUUUCUGAAUUUAUAUGCAAGUUGCCACUACGAAACAGCUAAAGCUGGUAUUUUCAUCUUGGUCCCCAGGAAGCAGAACUUAAGAUAAGAACUUGGACAUAGAUAUCUGAUUUGGGAGACGACUCCUAAAAGAAGGUGUAAAAUAUAAAAAUAAGUUAUUCAAAAUCUAAGCUGUUGGAACUCUAAAUUAUUUUGAACCUUAAAGGAAUGUGAUUAUGGGGUCCAAGUCACAUAACUGGCAGCUAUAACCUUUGUAUCUUUGAUUAUAGAUUAGUCUUAUUCCUUACCUACAUUGUUUUGUAAAAUGUUGCAAGUGACUAAAAGGCACCAGAAAAGAUCACCUUCCUCUUCAUUGUUGAUCUUAAUGAUCUUUAUGAUAGAUUAACUUCCCUCCUACUAAUAUCUUUCUCACACAAAGACUUCAUGACUAUCACAUUGUCAUAAGAUGGAAUGUUAAAUACAGUUUUGUAAACUGGAAAGAAAAUGAAAACCAGCUGUAAAGAAAGGAAAUUAAGCCAGAUGGAAAAGAAAACAAAUUAUAACUAAUUAAAUUGUUGUAACUCAUAAAUCAACUUUUUAUAGAAAAUACUGCAAUCCUAUUAAAUUUAUUUGUUUUCUUCCAAUAAGAAAGACAUUUAACUUUUAACUUCAUAGCACUGACCACAGUUCUCUGGCGUCCGUGUUUCCCAGCUGGCUAUUCCCAGCUUUUUGCUUGAAUAAACUCUUUUAAACUGAAAUCUGAUCCUUUCAACUAUUUCAGGUUGACCAAAGGUAGAGUGAUAGAAGGAGAUCAGAUAUAGUAAGACAAGGAAGAAAGAAAAGGUAAUAAAAGGUAGAUUACUGAGUUGGAUAUUACUGUGGGCAAAUGGGGGAUCAAUCCUGCUGGGAUCCCUCUAAAAACUGUAUACAAUGCCCUUCAGAUCUGACUUUCCAGAAGAUGGAAGGCUGGAAUAUUUAUGCAGCAACUACCAAUCCUUUUGUUUGACAGUUAUCCCAGGAAACUUCCAUUUCACCACACUUCUGGGCAAGGGCUGAGCAAGCUUAGAGGGCUUCAGAGACAGCCCUGAGGCAGAAAAGAAAAUAAAUUCUGUGGGCACUUGAAGUUGGCUACUGGCAGCAUGUUCAGUAAUAGUAACUGUCUACUGUAGCUAUAAUCUAAGGUGAGUCAACAGUAUGUGAUGCAGGGCAUGAAAAGCUUGUAUCAUAGCUUCCACGUUCCAAAGUGAGCUGUCUCUGGCAGCAUUCAUAUAGAAUAGAAUUUGAAUGGUGCACCCAGAUUUGAACAACAUGGUAAUCAUGUGAUGGACAUGGAAAAGUGAACUAACUUGGGAUCUUGUAGGUCACUAAGAUAACUCUAAUCAUGAUGUUAAAGGCUUUCCUUUACAUUCACAAAACAAUUUACUUCCUAGAAGUAGUUUAUUCUUGCCUGUGGUCAUUUUUGCUCCUUUAUAAUACUACAUCUAAAUCAAUUUGUUAAAUAUAGUAGAGAAUGAAAUAAAUUUCUUCCAGUUAAACCACUGCACUUAAAGAGUAGAACCCUCUCUAUGUCACUCUUUGUUUUGUUGAUCAUAACUCAACUGCUGUAUGGUGGGAUACUCUAAGAUCUGGGCUAAUCAAACUACCCAAGCAGGGCUUUUAACAUCUGGAGGCCCAAUAAGCUGACAUCAUCACCAAAAGAACAACCUUAAUGUCAUGCUAGCAAAAAAAAAAAAAAAAAAAAAAAAAAAAAAGGAAAUUGUUUCUCUUGUCAGAUUUUGCCAAAUUCAACUAAUAAUUACAGAAUAUUGUCAAACUAAGCCAUUAUGAAACAUUCUAAACAGUUGGGCUUAGGAUCAGCCAUUUAUUUCUUUUUCAUAACAUAUAUCCUACAGUUAAAAAAAAGUAUCUUUUGCAAUUAAAAAUGCAGUACAUUCUUUUAGAAAUGUCUUUGUGUGGGUUAAAUUUAUAUAAUUAAUGAAAAAUUAGUCUCCCUUCUCUUACUAGAAAAUGUUAUUUCUAAAUUGGACUUAGAUAUCAUUUCUGCAUUAUAAUAGAAAUAUAUAUAUCUUUUUACUAAUCCAAUGUUAUCGUUCAUCUAUCUUUCCUAAUAAUGGUCUCUUCUACAUUGAUGUAAUUUAUUAUUCACAUAAAUUAAGGUUCUUUCAUAGCGAUUGCAAUGUUCUCCAAUUUUGAUUCACUGGGAAGACUGAGUUACUUGUCUAGAUUCAACCUUUCGAAAUAGAGAAUCGGGGGUAGAAUUUUGGAACAUAUGAAUUGCAGACAGUAUGCUGAAUAGUCCACAUGUGCUGUCCAAAGGUGGACUUCAGUGUACUUCCUUUGUGCCAUCAUGGUCUGGAGAUCCACAUCAACAUGGAGAGCUUUCCAUGACUGAUAUACUCUGUCUCUGCUCAGUUCUCUCCUAAAGCCACAUGCCAUUGUGAUUUUCUUUACUUGCCUGUUUUAUUCUAUUCUGCUUACUGCUAGAGUUCCACAAAUCUAUAUGGUAUGUGAAAAGAAACUGUGAGCCCUCUAAGAAUAGGACAAUGGUUUUAUAUCUUUAUUUUCCCACCUAUAUUAAAAUUACAAAAGACUCAAAAUACUGGGCCAUAAAAUACAAUCAUGAAUGCAGGACAUAGAAAAAGCCUAUACACUUUAUUAUCUUCCUCAAGUAGGAGAGAUAUCAUAGUUAACAGGUAUUCUAUCUACUGAAUUAGUAGCAACUAGACAUAAGGUUGAAAACUGAAUGUAACUCAAAACGAUUCUAUGGGAAAUAAAUCGUUGGUUAAAUAUUUCAAUAUUCAUGUAUAAAAGGCAACUUGUUGGAAAAUAAAUUAUGAGCACAUUUUAUUCUUUGUGCUCAGAAAUACCAUGAGAUCAAUUCACAAAUGGCAAACAGUAACAUGCUAUCAUGAAAAACUGCCUCUUUAACAAUGUAUUUAACUUCAUUUGACUAUCAAAAUUCAUGAGGUUCUAAAAGGAACACAAAGUUGUAAAAGAGAGAGAAAGCAAAACCAAAAGUCAAGAGACCUGAUUUCUAAAGCUCAAAAAGCAACUAAAGUUAAACACAGAGCUUUUGAUAUUGAGUGUUCCCUUUAGUACUCAAAGCACAAUUUAAUAAUCUUCUAGUUCUAAAAAUAGUUUGCUGAUUUAUGCUGAAGUUCUCUAUCUAGGAAAAGAGAACAUAUGCAGCUAGUAGAAAUCAUACUACUACUACAUAAUAAGAAGCUCUAUUUAAUGGUAUCUUAAGCUUAUGAUUGUUUAAAAGUUUACAUUCUUUGAGAUAGGGGCCAUGAUUUAUAGAUGUAUCUCUUUAUACACUUAGCACCUCAGCAGUUUAUACAUAUUGGAUACUCAAUAAACAAUUGUUACUGAUGAAAGUGCUCUCUCAAAAGAAUAAAUUAACUGAUCUAUAAUACAGAUGCUUAGUUGAAAAUAAUAUUCAACUCACCACUUCAUUGUUCAUGCUCUCAAACCAUGUAUGCUUAAGAAAUUUAAUUAAAGUAGUAUUUUUCAAGGUGCUGGAAACAAACUAGAAAAACACAUUAAGAAUAUGAGUUAGCACAGCUGACUUUGGCACCUAUGGGCAAAUCUGUUUGAUGAAACCAUGUUGCAUCAAAAUUUGAUUUGGAAAUCUCAGUUCUGAGCAACUAGAAACACAUCCUCCAUGCACAGAAUGCCAAUCUGCCUUGCUGAAAUCUAAAAACCCUUGAAGAUGAGACUUAGAACUUUCAGAUAAAACAAAUACUUCCUGAAGACAAAUGGAAAAUGUAUAAAGCUAUAUAGCUUUGGCAGUAGCAGCUGUUUAGUUUCCUAUAUGAGUGUUGCCUUGAGAAAAAACAUAAAGAAGGACAUUGGGAGAAGGUUACAGUAGCAUUUACAGGCCAUCUGAGGAAUCUAAAACGUUCACCUGUAAUUGUAAGCCUGCCAAAAUAAAUUGUGACAAUUUGUGAACAGUAUGUUAACUUAUUUGCUUGCCUUAAUUUUAUUUCAUUGACAAGAAAAAAACAUAAAACUUCUAGAUAUUUUUGUAUAAAUAUAGUCUUAUAUUUAUAGAAACUAGUAAAAGUAUAAACCUUAGAAUGGUUAAGCAAACCACAGUGCAUUUAUUCAAUGGAAUUCUAUGUAACUAUUAAAAUUAUGUUCAAGAAAACUAUGUAUAUUUUAAAUAAAUAUAAUUCCAAAUUUUUAGAAAGAUGAUAUAUACAGACAUUUGCCUACAAACUAUAAACUGAAGAGAAUUAAAUGAAAAAUAGACUUUGAAUGGUCUUUAAAAUUCUACUUUGUAUACAUUCCAAAGUUUAUUGAAUGAGUAUAUAAUAUUUUUAUAUUAAAAUAAUUUAAAGCCAUGUCUCUUUUGAUAGCAAUAAAUUCACUUUGGUAAGUGAAUUUUAGCUCCAAAUCACAAAUAUCUAAUUAACCCACCAAAGCUACAAUUAUUGAAAUAUUUAAGUCCUUUGAAUUUAAACAGAUAUUCUGAAAGUUAGAUUUUGUAAUUUAUAACUGUGAUAUCAUUUAAAUUUUACAGAAAAUCUACAAGAAUAGUAGAAAUAAAUCCAAUAUAUUCUUUACCCAGAUUCAUCAAUUAUUUACAUUCUGCUGUAUUUACUUUACCAUUCAUAUUGUCUUGAUAGAUGUUUAUAAAUUUAAACAUAUACUAUUCUUCCUGAACCAUGUGAGUAUAGGAUGGAGAUUCUAUAUCCCUUUACCCAUAGACACUUCAGCUAGCAUGUCCUAUGAAAAGGGCAUCCUUGCACAAAACCACAUUACAGUUAUCAAAGUUGGAAAUUUAAUACUGAUACAAUAUUAUCAUCUAAUACAUAGCCCAUAUUCAAAUUUCAUCAAUUGCCAGAAUAAUGUCCUUUGCGGCUACUUUUCUCCAUCUAGGGUGAAAUCUAGGAUCAUGCAUUGAAUUUACUUGCCAUGUUUCUUAGCCUCUGAUUUGAAACAGUUUCUCAGCAUUUCUUUGUUCUUUUCGACUUUGAGAUUUUUGGAAAGCACAGACCUGUUAUUUUGUAGAAUGUCCCUCAGUUUUGAUGUGCCUGAUAUUUCCUCAUGAUUAGAUUCAGAUUAUUAACUUUUGGCAGGAACACGAUAAAAAUAAUGCUGUGUCCUCAGUGUAACAUACCAGGAGGCACAAAGAGUCAGUUUGUCCCAAUAAUUGAUGAUGCUACUUUGAUUAAUUACUUGGGAAGGUGGUGUGCCACCAGUCUGUUCACUGCAGGUUACUUUUUUCUUUGUAAAUAGUAAUUUGUGGAGAGAUACUUAGAGGCAAUGUAAACACCUUGUAUCUUAUCAAAGUUUCUAAAUUUGCUAAAAGCCAGGUAGGAAUAUGUUCUGAAUGUUAUAUUUUAUUUUUAAAACAUUAUGAUUUUGUGUAAGAAAUGUAUUUUUACUUAGGGAAAAAAGAAAACACGGAAGCAAAAAGAAAACAAAAAUUACAAAUAAUUCUACCAUGCAAAGAAAAUUGUCACUAUUAUGUUGCACUAGAGUUAGGUAAGUAGAGAUUGUCAUUUCUGGAUAUGGGUCACUUGUAAAUUUGGAUUUGGAAAUGUACACAGGCUGAAGUCAAUCCAAAAGGCCAAAGAAAUAAGAAUGAAAGACUGGUACUAUAUCCACACAAAAGAUAAAAGCAGUUUCACUGAAGACAGAAUCCAUACUAAGAUAGAUGAACGUGAGGAAGAUGAGCUAGUCACAAGCUUGUGUUUCAUCAACCUGGAAGGGAACAACCUGGAUUUGAAGAGACAGUGAAACAUCAGUACUUGGUUAUUCUGAAAUCCUGCUACUAUCCAGAUGUCAGAUCCUGCUAACUCACAUGUGAUUACCAAUUUCAAGAGCAAUGCCAGGAACAAGGUCUCUGGGCUGCCAGCACAAUUUCAAAUCAUGUUAUUUGAAUACAUUCUGUUGGUCUUCACGAGUCAUUUGUUUACUGUGGGCCUCGGUCUAAAUAAAGAUUUUUAAAUCACUUCAUAUUUUAACAGAAUUUUUAAGUCAUAUUUAUAUUUUCUCUAAGA
rnacentral:lncRNA from 10 species